AAUGAACGUUGGCGGCGUGGAUUAGGCAUGCAAGUCGAGCGUACCCAGCAAUGGGGAAGCGGCAAACGGGGUAGUAAGGCGUCGGUACGUGCCCUCGGGACGAGGAUAGCCACGGGAAACUGUGGGUAAUACUCGAUGACAUCGUGAGAUCAAAGGUGUGAUUCCGCCCGGGGAGCGGCUGACGUGGUAUUAGGUAGUUGGUGGGGUAAUGGCCCACCAAGCCUGGGAUGCCUAGGGGGUGUGAGAGCAUGGGCCCCCACCAUUGGGACGUGAGAUACUGCCCACGACACCUACGGGUGGGCUGCAGUCGAGAAUCUUCCGCAAUGGGCGGAAAGACCUGACGGAGCGACGCCGCGUGGUGGAUGAAGGCCCUUGGGUUGUAAACACCUGUCAGAGGGGGAGUGAAAUACAUGGUUUGGGCAAUCCUUCCAUGUUGACAGAGCCUCAGAGGAAGCACGGGCUAAGUACGUG
rnacentral:rRNA from 1 species